GACUCCGGUGGCCUAGUGGUUAGAGCGUCCUCUUCAGAUGUGGGAGGUCGUGGGUUCGAUCCCCAGUCGAGUCA